rnacentral:rRNA from 1 species
GACGAACGCUGGCGGCGUGCUUAACACAUGCAAGUCGAACGGAAAGUCCCUGCUUUUGUGGGGUGCUCGAGUGGCGAACGGGUGAGUAACACGUGAGUAACCUGCCCUGGACUUUGGGAUAACUUCAGGAAACUGGGGCUAAUACCGGAUAGGAGCUCCUGCUGCAUGGUGGGGGUUGGAAAGUUUCGGCGGUUGGGGAUGGACUCGCGGCUUAUCAGCUUGUUGGUGGGGUAGUGGCUUACCAAGGCUUUGACGGGUAGCCGGCCUGAGCGGGUGACCGGCCACAUUGGGACUGAGAUACGGCCCAGACUCCUACGGGAGGCAGCAGUGGGGAAUAUUGCACAAUGGGCGGAAGCCUGAUGCAGCAACGCCGCGUGCGGGAUGACGGCCUUCGGGUUGUAAACCGCUUUCGCCUGUGACGAAGCGUGAGUGACGGUAAUGGGUAAAGAAGCACCGGCUAACUACGUG